UACGAGGGGGGCAAGCGUUGUUCGGAAUUAUUGGGCGUAAAGGGCGCGUAGGCGGUGCGGUAAGUCACCUGUGAAAACUCUGGGCUCAACUCAGAGCCUGCAGGCGAAACUGCCGUGCUUGAGUGUGGGAGAGGUGCGUGGAAUUCCCGGUGUAGCGGUGAAAUGCGCAGAUAUCAGGAAGAACACCCGUGGCGAAGGCGGCUCUCUGGGACGGUACUGACGCUGAGACGCGAAAGCGUGGGGAGCGAACAGG
rnacentral:rRNA from 1 species